UACCCUAUUAUAUUAGGUGUAAUUUUUUUACUUGGGUAGUAUUAGUUAUGUUCUUGAAACUUAAAAAAUUUGGCGGUAUUUUAUUCUUUCCAGAGGAACCUGUUCUUUAAUUGAUAAUCCACGAUUUUAUUUACUUAUACUUGUAAGCAGUUUUUAUAUCUCCGUCAUAAGAAUAUUUUAUUAGAAUAAAUUUUCUUUGUUAUUUAAGAUUAAAAUGUCAGGUCAAGGUGAAAUUUAUGUAUAAGUAGAAAUGGGUUACAAUAAUCUUAUUUAUAUGGAUAAUAUAUAUUAUACUAUAUUUGAAGGUGGAUUUGGGAGUAAGAAAAUUUUUAUUAAUUUUUUGAUUUUAGCUCUAAAUUAUGUACACAUCGCC
rnacentral:rRNA from 1 species